AUUAUACUCCCUCCGUCUGAAAAUAGCUGUCAUCAAAAUGGACAAAAAGGGAUGUAUCUAAAACUAAAAUACAUCUAGAUACAUCCCUUUUAUCCAUUUUGAUGACAAGUAUUUCCGGACGGAGGGAGUAUAUA
rfam:Triticum aestivum genome assembly, contig: Triticum_aestivum_CS42_TGACv1_scaffold_486186_6AS